UUUGGACAUGGCUCAGAUUGAACGCUGGCGGAAUGCUUUACACAUGCAAGUCGAACGGCAGCAUAGAGAGCUUGCUCUCUGAUGGCGAGUGGCGAACGGGUGAGUAACAUAUCGGAACGUGCCUAGUAAUGGGGAACAACUAGUCGAAAGAUUAGCUAAUACCGCAUACGACCUACGGGUGAAAGCAGGGGAUCUUCGGACCUUGCGUUAUUAGAGCGGCCGAUAUCUGAUUAGCUUGUUGGUAGGGUAAAAGCCUACCAAGGCGACGAUCAGUAGCUGGUCUGAGAGGACGAUCAGCCACACUGGAACUGAGACACGGUCCAGACUCCUACGGGAGGCAGCAGUGGGGAAUUUUGGACAAUGGGGGCAACCCUGAUCCAGCCAUUCCGCGUGAGUGAAGAAGGCCUUCGGGUUGUAAAGCUCUUUCGCAAGAGAAGAAAACUUGCUAUUUAAUAAAUAGUAAGUAUGA
rnacentral:rRNA from 1 species